AAUAGAGAACCAUUCAGCCACUCUAACUCUCUCCCUCAUUUGUCUUCAAGUCGUGAAUUCCUUAGAAAAAUAUUCGGAUCAGGCAUGUCUUUGAACCAAGAGUAGUCCUAAGUGAUCAUUUCCCAUUUUCCCUACAAGCGGCAAACUCCAAAUAGAUGACCCAAACAGCAAAGCUUAUCUUCUUCAAUCUAUCUCCUUAUUCGAUCGUACAGCAAGCAGUAAGCUUUCAUGUGUUUGACUCCUUCAUCCUAUCCUCUAAACCGUCGAUCUCUAAGAGGUGAAUCACAAUACAAGCCUUCAUCUCAUUUCCUCAAGGGUCCAGCCAUUUGCAGCAACUAGGGAGAUUGCUCAUGAGCUCUUCCUCCACCUCUUUCCCUUGUUCGGCCAAAGGCCCUUCUUCAAGGAGCUCCUUCCCCUUCUUCAUGUUGACUUAAACGCGAGUUAUGGAGCAUAGGAAGGAGGAUGGGCUGCUUCUUGGUCGAUUUGUGGUCUUGGGUGCCGAUGCAAGAAAAGGUGCACAUAACCUUUGAGUGUGGACUGAAUUUGCUGCUGUAUGAUUUAUAUUGAGGCACACCAAGGUAUGUGUUUGGUGGUGAGACCUAUUGUGACUAUUAGCUAGCGUAUGGAAUUUUGAAUUGAUGCUCACAUGUGCCUUAUGAUUAGUAUUCGGUUAUAUGUUAUAUGUAUUCUGCCUUUGCAUUUGACAUGAUGGAAAUUUCGUUUUGGGAAUUAAUUGUGAUUCGGCAGCUUGGUAUUAAAAGUACGAGAAAUAUAUACUAUUAUGAUCUAGUCAUGCAUAUGCACCUCAUGAUUCAUCUGUUUCUGUCUGUGUGUGCCAAACAUGUCAUAGCAUACAGCAUUAUGCACUCAUUUUGGAAGCCGAAGUAUAUAAUAAAAUAAGCAUACGUUUGAGCACGCAUCAUAUAGGCAUCCCUCCGGUACCAGGGUAUGGGACACUUGGCUUCAGUCCGCAUAGGUCGCGGUUGGAACCCUCUUGAGGAGCCAUUAUGGGAUCUCCACUGUGCUUGUUAGUACGUGCACUGCAGUGCUAUGAACAUAUAUCUUUGGCGUUAUAUACGCAUCUUGAUUAGUAUUUUGGCGUUAUAUAUGCAAUAUGAUUAGUACUUUGGCGUUAUAUACGCACUAUGAUUAUAUGUUAGCACCUAUCCGAAAAAUUAUAUGUUGAUGCGACUGUUUUGGAAUUUUGUACCUAGUCUAAUAUUGUGGCAAUACUGGUUUUACUAUCACACUACUGGGAUUCUUUCUCACCCCUUUUGGGGCUCAAUUUUUAUAAAUUGUAGGGAGACGAAAAAGGAUUUUUUUUUAUGAAGUAUUUGAUUUGGACAUGUUCUGCUUGUUUGCUGCUGCUUUGGAAAUUAUGCUGUUGUCCACCAUUUUUGUUAGUUGUUGACUGAUUAAUGAUGUUGAUUUAAUAUUUUGUGAUAUCGGAAAAAUGUCAGAACCUGUCUUAAAUUGGUGUAUUAUGAGACUUUAUGGUCAGCACCUAACUUGCACUAUUCUGAUUAUAUUUUACAAAAACAAUUCAUGAACGUUUUGAAUGCUAAGUUAUAAACUGUUUUGCGAGCACUUUACGAGUUCCACUUCUAGGGCUACAGAUCUCCGAUUUACUUAUGCACGCGUAGCCCCAUAUGUCUAUUUUCAGAUUAUAUAAACUUUAUAAUGAAAUUUUGAAAGCUCAAUUUAUUAUAAUUUUUGCAAGUCAGGUCGUUUUGAAACAUUGCAAUGAUUUGCCUUGUAUUUUUGCGAGUUCAGUCUCGGGAGCUAGACACCUCCGAACGAAAUAAUUUUUAUAUGCUCAUAACGCCCCGGAUGUCUAGUUUUCUUGUGUCAAAGAAGUUUGUUUUAAGCUAUUGAAUCCAAUUUGAUAUGAUUUUUUCAAUGCAGCAAGGUUUUUGGAAAACUACUAUUUUCAGCAAGCAAUGUAUUUUAUGAAGCCUCACGCUAUUUUUUUCACGUGCAACCAGAUUUCAUUGAAGAUCUUAUUUAAUUGACUUAAAAUCAUAGUGCAGUAUUUAAAUUAAUUCUGCUCCGACUCUAAUCCGCUUAGCAGAUGACUCCCUUGGACGCGUACAGGGAGGGUGUCACAAUAACAAAAGGAAUGGAUAAGAUCUUGAUAGUAUCUUGUCAAGAUCAAAUCCUAAGUAUCAAGAGGAGAUAUUUGGACAUCAUCAAAGAUGAUUGGGGCGCUGAUUUGGUGGCUUAAUGCUGGUCAUUUAAUCAACAAAUCAAGCUCCAUUCAGAUUUGGUUGGUUGUAGAAAUAUUUGAUUUAGUUGAUUCAAUUUGAAUUGCAACUAAUCAAUAUUUUUGGAAUGAUUUUGGGCUGAUUGGGGUGCACAAUAUGGCUGAUCAUAUAAUGGUUAUUAGGUCAAAAUAUUGACUAGGUGCAGACUUAGUUUUAAGAGGAUAGGAUAGGAGUUUGUUGACUAUAUUUGAUUUGCAACAACUCCAUUCUUUCCUCCACAAAAGGGGCGCUCCAUGAUCAGAUUUUUGGUGAAAAAAAUCUGAUUCAAAUUUAUUCCUCUUUCAUCUCCUUAAGUUUUUUCCUUUUGUGAUAUUCUCCUUAGGGUUUUUGGAAAAUAAAAAGGCCAUUCUCUUCUACAAUUUGUGCACUACUUUGUGUGAUUUUUAUGGCUGAAAAUUCUCUCAUCUAAACAUAAUAGAACCGAGCUUCCUACCUCUUCACAAGGGACGCCUAGCUUGCUCCUUUGUGGUGUUUGAAUUGGUGGCUUUUCAAGAAGAGUUCUUACGUCUUGACAAAGGGUGGUGUGGAUCAACAUUAGAGGGUUUGAACCUUCAAGCCUAACACUGAUCACCUUCGAGUUUUGAGUUAUGAAUAAGUUAUCUCUGUGUCCUAGAGUACGUAUCUUGAUUGGUAUGUGUGUUUCCGCUUUGAAAAUUUUUUGUUUUCAUCCUCACAUGCCUACGGCCUUCAAGGCUCUAUCUUUCAAGUGGUAUCAGAGCCCGGUUGCUUUACCAUAGACGGGUGAUGGUACUUUGUUUGUAAAAAUUUAUUCUUCACGGUCAAAAAUUCUUUAAAGAUGUUAAAGAUUGAUUCUUUGCAUGUGGAUAUAAAAUGUUAAAGAUUGUUUUUUCAUGAACUUGAUUAAUAUGAUUAUGAUGUUCAUAUAUCUACGUGUACUCAGGGUUUUGUUUCUUUAUAUUCUUUGUGAAAGUUUUCAAAAGAAACAUUUUUUUGGAAAAGAAUAUGAUUCGGCCAUGAUGUGAAUAUUCAAAUGCCUUGUUUUCUCCAUGAUCUUAUGGCAUAUCUCGACUACAUGUAUAAAAGAAGGGUUCUUGAUUUUGUUUGAAUUGUUAAAAAAUUUUGUGAUAAAAUUUCCAAUAAAUGAGCAUGUAUGGUUCGGCCAUAUUGAGAUUAUAGUUAUAUGUAUGAUUUAAUUUAUGUUCUUUGAGAAAGAAUUGACAAAGAUUUGAAUUAUGUAUAAAGAUGCACGAUUCGGCCAUUUGGAGAAAAUUAGGAAAUUUUGAAUUUUGAUUCUUGUUUUGAUAUUUUAAUUGUUAAAUUAUCAAAAUAUAUGUGAGAAUAUAUUUAAUUGUGUGCUUGCAAGCUGUUUAACUUUUCAGGUGCAAAUUGGAAGGGGAUGGUCAUGGUGCCCGAAUUUAAAUUUUAAAUUUUAAAUUUUAAAUUAAAGGUGUAAUUUUGCUCUAUUUAAAUUAGAGAUGUAAAUUUGAAUUUUAAAUUUUUGUAUCUUCAUUUGUCCCUCCAAAGAUGUUUUGGAGUUUCUUUAAUUAUUUUGUAAUUAGAGAAUUAGGCUAGUGGCGUUUAGACGAGUAGAAGCCGUGGCCUAAGGAGCAAGAUUGAAGAAUGCGCGAGCAUCAUAACUGUCUCAAAUAAAACUGUUUUAUAUGCUUGUAUAUUUUAAAACGACUAGUAUGCAUGAGAUAGUGUA